UUGUACACUAGAAACAUAGGCCUUUCUCUUGCAUCCUAGUUCAUUCACAUUAUCUACAAAAACUUUUCAACAGCAUAAAACUAUUUUUAAAAACUUCAUGGGCUAUGUUGGCACAAGCCUAUAAUCCCAGAACCCAAGAGACAGAAGAAGCAAGAGAAUCACAUGUUCAAAGCUAGCCAGGACUACACAAUUCAAUAUGAAAAGGAAAGAAACUCAAGCAACUUCUAGGAGCUAAGGAAGAACCCUGGAAAGCAGAAACACGAAAUACAAGAUGGAAACCUGAGGAGACCAGAGGCAGCAGCAGGAUGGGCUGGUUUGCUGGGACACAACUUAGAGACACUGGAGUUCAUGACAACUGAGGCAAAUGUUAAGUCGUAUCUAUCAGUCUCCUACUUCUUCACUGUAACUAUAUUUGCCAAAUUCCUAAAAGGUAGGUUGGAUUACAUGAGUACGCCUAUGUCCAAUAAUAAAAA